rnacentral:rRNA from 1 species
UACAGAGGUCCCAAGCGUUGUUCGGAUUCAUUGGGCGUAAAGGGUGCGUAGGCGGCGCGGUAAGUCGGGUGUGAAAUCUUGGAGCUUAACUCCGAAACUGCAUUCGAUACUGCCGUGCUUGAGGACUGGAGAGGAGACUGGAAUUUACGGUGUAGCGGUGAAAUGCGUAGAUAUCGUAAGGAAGACCAGUGGCGAAGGCGGGUCUCUGGACAGUUCCUGACGCUGAGGGACGAAGGCCAGGGGAGCAAACGGG